CACCAUGGAAGUAGCACAAACCUUAGACUGUUGAGGAGCAAAACCAGCGUCGAGAUGCUGGACGGUUUAGGAAAAGAAAACAGAAGCCCCUUAUUCGUCGAGACCGCAUGUUAGGACUGAACACCCGAUUCCUCAUGUGGGUACUUCCAUCGGUUGCUAAAACUGAUACUUGGAUGCCUUCGUGCCUACUGGAGAACCCAAAUAAGGACUCAGGGUGACCAAGUACAAACAAAUGCCACGGCAUUUAGAACUGAAGAGCGAGAAGCAGAAGGGAAAAUGUGAAAAGAAGGCAGAAGAGGGCCAGUGAGAGCUGGCCAAUGAGAAGGCGGCCACAGUGGUGGCCUCUACUGGCAGUCGGGAGAUGGUCAGAUGCCAUUUUUCACAAAAAAAGAGAAGCUAUUCUAGGUACCACCAGUUGAAAUGUGUGCUACGCUGGAGGAAGAAGUCUGAGUUUCCUAUAAAUUGCCCAGCUAUUUUGGGGGAUUUUUUUUUAUCACCAUGUUGGUCUCAUUUUCCCAUGGAGGCCUUGGUGACAAAAGCAGGCAGUGGGGUAUAUUGCUAACAUGGCUGUGCCUUUGACCAGAUCACUUCACCUCCAGAGAUUUCAGAUUCUUUCUUUGUAAAAUGAACAUUUGGAUGUGAUGAUUUCCCAGAUCUCUCCCGGUUCCCGAGACUAAAGUCUGCAGGCUAGUUUGAUCACAUGCCUCCAUCACUAAAUAUAUAUUUGACUAUCUACCCA